ensembl:misc_RNA Y_RNA Y RNA
AGUUGGUCCGAAGGCUGUGGGUUAUUGUUAAGUUGUUUAACAUUGUCUCCCCCAACACCCCUACUUGACUAGCUUGUG